CAUUGGCUCAACCAANGUAUGCUUUGGAAACUGUUAGACUNGAGUGCAGAAGGGGAGAGUGGAAUUCCAUGUGUAGCGGUGAAAUGCGUAGAUAUAUGGAGGAACNCCGGUGGCGAAAGCGGCUCUCUGGUCUGUCACUGACGCUGAGGCUNGAAAGCGUGGGUAGCGAACAGGAUUAGAUACCCUGGUAGUCCACNCCGUAAACGCUGAGUGCUAGGUGUUAGGUCCUUUCCGGGACUUAGUGCCGACGCUAACGCAUUAAGCACUCCGCCUGGGGAGUACGACCGCAAGGUUGAAACUCAAAGGAAUUGACGGGGGCCCGCACAAGCGGUGGAGCAUGUGGUUUAAUUCGAAGCAACGCGAAGAACCUUACCAGGUCUUGACAUCCCGAUGCCCGCUCUAGAGAUAGAGUUUUACUUUUUGUACAUCGGAGACAGGUGGUGCAUGGUUGUCGUCAGCUCGUGUCGUGAGAUGUUGGGUUAAGUCCCGCAACGAGCGCAACCCUUAUUGUUAGUUGCCAUCAUUAAGUUGGGCACUCUAGCGAGACUGCCGGUAAUAAACCGGAGGAAGGUGGGGAUGACGUCAAAUCAUCAUGCCCCUUAUGACCUGGGCUACACACGUGCUACAAUGGUUGGUACAACGAGUCGCAAGCCGGUGACGGCAAGCUAAUCUCUGAAAGCCAAUCUCAGUUCGGAUUGUAGGCUGCAACUCGCCUACAUGAAGUCGGA
rnacentral:rRNA from 1 species